rnacentral:lncRNA from 10 species
GAGCAAGCCGCUGCUCUCACCUUGCUUGACACACUUGAGCCGGAGGGGGUCCUUGCAGUGUUUGAUCACGGCCAGCACGUCCCUGAUGGUGAGCCCCGCCACGGGGGUCUCGUUCACCUCCAGCAGCAGCUCCUCCGACACCAAUUUGCUGCCGCUCUCAUAGGCCACCUUGCCGGGCUUCACCUCCCCCAGCAGAGGAAGCAGUGGUGGUGGCGUCGGCGGCGGCGGCGGCGGCAGCCGGAGCGAGCAGUAGCCGAGCUGUAAUGUCUUACAAUAACAGAAUGCAGGAGAGCACAUAUCAAUGAAGAAAAGACAAAAUGUACUUAUCCAUGAAGCUGAGGUUAAGAAACCAGUGUCUUCAAGAGCCAGGGACAGCACUGGGUCUGUGCAGAGUUGAGAGAUGGUGAUGACAUGUGACAGAGCUCCUUGCUGCUCAAAUUUUAUGCCAGAUAAAAUAUUCACCUUCUCGGACUCCCUGGCACCAGGCAUGGCCAUGUAAUCCUACAGCACAGCUGAUGAAAGAGAAGACAUCUUGCUGCUAUUUGACAAGCAAGAAGAUAAAAGCUUUCCUAUAAAGAUGAUGGAGCAAAAAAAUAGAAGGGGCCUAGACUCCCUACCUUCACACUUCCUGCUAUAAAAGCAUUGCUAUUAUAAGGUUAAUCUGCAGAAACAGACUUCUAUGUCAUAUGCUUAAAUGCAUCAAAAUUCAUACAAUAUCCAUUAAAUUGGUAAAAGUAUCCAUUUUAAAGGAUUAAUCUGAGGGACCCACAGACACUUAACACAAUCAAAUCUCAGAAAAAAAAUCAGUUAUUUCAUUGUGAUUUUGAGGCUGAUCUUUUAUGAUCUUUUAGUUAUCAAACUGUUAAAUACAUUUUAACUUUCAAAUUUUAUGAAUAAAGGAGAUGAAUCCUGUUAUUUUCUCAGUGUGAGUGUGAUGAUGUGUGUCAUAUGUGCCUAUGUAUGCACACACAUGUACUCAAGGAGCCUGAAAGGGACCAUGACUUUCUGGGCACUCAAUGCUACUUAUCUCUAACUCCUCCUUCAAAUGUCCCCAUUCUAAGUCUACUUCCUUAGGGAAUAGGUACAAAUAUAUCCCAUUAAACAUGAUUUAAGGAUGUAUUUAUUUUAAACUUGUCAUCACUGGUGGUUGGAGUGUGUGUGUGUGUGUGUGUGUGUGUGUGAAUUCUGACUCAUUUAUUUUAUCUGAUGGUAAGAUACCCUAUUGAAGAGAUAUUUAUUUAUAGAGCCAAACAAUGAGCUUCUUUCUCACUCUUGGACUUCUGCUCUAGCUGUCAGCCACUCUGAAUAUAGAGAACAAUUAAUAGCCAGUGAUCUUUAAUUUGGGAGGGAGAGUAAUAUAACCAUUUCACAUAUUAGUAAUUUAAGCCCUAAAGUGACAUUUUUGUACAAAGUCAGUGCAGAUGCUGUCUGCCUUGAUAAUAAAAAUGGUCACUUUAAAUAUCACGUAAGCCACCCCAUCACAUCAUCUCAUUGAAAUGAAGGAAGAUGAAAAGUUACUGAGUCAAAACAAUACUUGAAGGAAAACAACUUCUCAAAGUCUGGAAGCUGUUUCCAUGGGAACUGGCUGGACUGAUAAAUAAUUGGAGGCCUUUGCAUAUAUUGUCCCUUAAAUGUGAGCAGCACUUGGGAGGAAGAAGGCUGAACAAGGCUGCAUUUUU